AUGAACGCUGGCGGCGUGCCUAACACAUGCAAGUCGAACGAAGCUUGACGGAUGAUUUCUUCGGAAUGAAACCAGAUAUGACUUAGUGGCGGACGGGUGAGUAACACGUGAGCAACCUGCCUUUCAGAGGGGGAUAACGGCUGGAAACGGUCGCUAAUACCGCAUGAUGUGUUCGGAUGGCAUCAUCUGAACAUCAAAGAUUUAUCGCUGAAAGAUGGGCUCGCGUCUGAUUAGAUAGUUGGUGGGGUAACGGCCUACCAAGUCUGCGAUCAGUAGCCGGACUGAGAGGUUGAACGGCCACAUUGGGACUGAGAUACGGCCCAGACUCCUACGGGAGGCAGCAGUGGGGAAUAUUGCACAAUGGGGGAAACCCUGAUGCAGCAACGCCGCGUGAAGGAUGACGGUUUUCGGAUUGUAAACUUCUUUUCUUAGUGACGAAGACAGUGACGGUAGCUAAGGAAUAAGCAUCGGCUAACUACGUGCCAGCAGCCGCGGUAAUACGUAGGUGGCGAGCGUUAUCCGGAAUUAUUGGGCGUAAAGAGGGAGCAGGCGGCACUAAGGGUCUGUGGUGAAAGAUCGAAGCUUAACUUCGGUAAGCCAUGGAAACCGUAGAGCUAGAGUGUGUGAGAGGAUCGUGGAAUUCCAUGUGUAGCGGUGAAAUGCGUAGAUAUUCGGAGGAACACCAGUGGCGAAGGCGGCUUGCUGGGCUUUAACUGACGCUGAGGCUCGAAAGUGUGGGGAGCAAACAGGAUUAGAUACCCUGGUAGUCCACACUGUAAACGAUGAUAGCUAGGUGUGGGGGGUCUGACCCCUUCCGUGCCGGAGUUAACGCAAUAAGCUAUCCACCUGGGGAGUACGACCGCAAGGUUGAAACUCAAAGGAAUUGACGGGGGCCCGCACAAGCAGUGGAUUAUGUGGUUUAAUUCGAAGCAACGCGAAGAACCUUACCAGGUCUUGACAUCCGACUAACGAGAUAGAGAUAUGUCAGGUGCCCUUCGGGGAAAGUCGAGACAGGUGGUGCAUGGUUGUCGUCAGCUCGUGUCGUGAGAUGUUGGGUUAAGUCCCGCAACGAGCGCAACCCCUGCCAUUAGUUGCUACGCAAGAGCACUCUAAUGGGACCGCUACCGACAAGGUGGAGGAAGGUGGGGACGACGUCAAAUCAUCAUGCCCCUUAUGACCUGGGCUACACACGUAAUACAAUGGCCGUUAACAGAGGGAAGCAAAGCGGUGACGCAGAGCAAAACCCUAAAAACGGUCCCAGUUCGGACUGUAGGCUGCAACCCGCCUACACGAAGUUGGAAUUGCUAGUAAUCGCGGAUCAGCAUGCCGCGGUGAAUACGUUCCCGGGCCUUGUACACACCGCCCGUCACACCAUGGGAGUUUGUAACACCCGAAGUCAGUGACCCAACCGCAAGGAGGGAGCUGCCGAAGGUGGGAUAAGCGACUGGGGUG
rnacentral:rRNA from 1 species